rnacentral:rRNA from 1 species
UACGUAGGGUGCGAGCGUUGUCCGGAAUUAUUGGGCGUAAAGAGCUCGUAGGCGGUUCGGCAAGUCGGAUGUGAAAUCUCCACGCUUAACGUGGAGGGGCCAUUCGAAACUGCCGUGACUCGAGUCCGGUAGGGGAGUGCGGAAUUCCCGGUGUAGCGGUGAAAUGCGCAGAUAUCAGGAAGAACACCUAUGGCGAAGGCAGCUCUCUGGGACGGUACUGACGCUGAGACGCGAAAGCGUGGGGAGCGAACAGG